rnacentral:rRNA from 1 species
GUGUCAGCCGCCGCGGUAAGACGAACCGUACAAACGUUAUUCGGAAUCACUGGGCUUAAAGGGUGCGUAGGCGGCUCUGCAAGUUGGGUGUGAAAGCCCUCGGCUCAACCGAGGAACAGCGCCCAAAACUGCAGGGCUUGAGGGAGACAGAGGUGAGCGGAACUACGGGUGGAGCGGUGAAAUGCGUUGAUAUCCGUAGGAACACCAGGAGCGAAAGCGGCUCACUGGGUCUCUUCUGACGCUGAGGCACGAAAGCUAGGGGAGCGAACGGGAUUAGAUACCCCGGUAGUCCUAGCCGUAAACGAUGAGCACUGGUUUGGAGGGCCCCCCAUAGCCUUCUAGACGUAGCGAAAGUGUUAAGUGCUCCGCCUGGGGAGUAUGGUCGCAAGGCUGAA